GUUGAAACCCCUCUGUCGCACGGUUAGCUGAGUGAUGACGACAACCGGUCCUGGUCCUGAGGCUGAGUCCAUGCGCAGGACGCAGGUUUCUGUGGCAGCCGCAACGCCCGAGCAGCUCUACUGCGGAAGCAGGCUGCCGGUUGGAGAUGUGUGACAGUGUUGACAGUAUCUGAAGCCGUUCAGUGAAGUCCAACCACGAGCUGCUGAGGACCAAAACCAAGACUUGAUAAGGAAUGCCUCUGCGGAAACGCUUCUCGGUACAGCUGAACAGACCCAGCGCACUGACACCAAGGUAUAUACACCGUGUGGCAGCGUUUCUUUUUCCAGUGCAGUUCUGGCUCCCGUCUUGAAGGCUGGCAGAGGGAGAAAAAGAAAUGCAAAGAAGGAGACUGAAGUGGAGGAAUUGAGGGGAAGAUGGACGUUUCAGUCGAAAUGGAAACAUCAUUUCGCGUGCGCUAUUCAUGUAAUAAGAAGAAAACCACUGCUUGAGGGCGUUCGGGGGAAAAACAUAAUCUUUCAGGAAGUGUGUAAGAACUAACGCUAAGCUCUGCAUUUGCAUUCAAGGAUGACCUCCUAAAAAGUCUCAGCUUCAGUAUGGUUAAAAUAGUAAUCCACAGCAUGUUCACAUAAACACCGUUCACUCUGGUUCAAUUCAGCUCAAUUGUAUUUAUUUAUUUGGCCCAUAUAUAUAGAUAUAUAUAUAGAUAUAUAUAUCUAUAUAUAUAUUUAUCGUAGUGUGCUUGAUAAUCUGCACAGCACACAAAAGGCUCUGUAUCCUUAAACCCUUGAUAUAUGCAUGAUGGUAACAAAUAAUUCAGCGAAUUCCCAGGCUGAGCACUCAAUCCUCUGCUCACGACGAGUUCUGGGUUCUAUCUUUUUGGCUUCAUCAAUGGUUUAUCUUGGAAUAAAAAAGAACAGGAAAAAGGCAGCAAGUGUGGCAGAAACUCACAUCAACACGAAGGUGGUUCUUUGGACGUGCACUAGAAAAACAUGAAACUAGUAAACACACACUUAGAAGCUACAGAUGACCACUCCCACGAAUCCGACUAUGGUUUGUGGAGAAAUGAAGGUGCACCUUCUCUCUAACUAGCUGCAGUUCUCCUUGGUUUCCUUGAUGGCGCGCUGGAUUGAUUAGCGCAGGGAGGAUGGGCGGCCGCGCGGCCUGCUGCCUCAUUACUCUCAGUUUGCAGGUGUUCUCGAAUGCUUUGGUGCCCCUGCUGCCUUGGCAGGGAGAAGACAGAGGACAGAGACCAGACCCACCUCGUUCAUCUUGCUCGCCUGUGAUGGAGGUCAUGCAGCAAAGUACUCUUGCUCAGAAUAAGUCGCUGGGAGUGACAGAUGGAGUUGCAGAAUGGGAGGGGAAUCAGCUCAGCCUCAUUUGUUUUUCAUCUGGUGAAGGUGGCUGCAGGCACACUUUUGAUGACAGCACCCGCCAGGCUUACUCUCUGGUUAUGUAAGGCACCUCGACUGUGUGUGGGAAAUUUACUAUAUCUUGAUGGAACUGCAAAUGUGUGCACUGAUUGCAUGGUUCUUGGUGGUUCAAAGCGGCACAAUAUGCCCGCGCUUUGGUAUAUUUACUUUGUUAAGAAUAGCUCUGGCAGACACAUAAUGAACAUAAAAAUAAUGCACUCCUGUCAUUUCAUCAACAUGAAUUGAAUUGUGGAAGAAUACAAAAUAUAUUCAUGGACACACAGUCUAGAAAGGGACUUAGAACAGGGUGGGUGAAGAUUUGACUACAUAACCCUAGAAAGUGCGACUAUAAAUAGUUUUUUUUGUUAAUUAUGUCUUGAUGUUCACUGCGUUAACUGUAUGAGCUGUACACAAAGUGCAGAACAUUGCCCUGUGAAGAGGCAAUCUAUAAAAGAGGCUAAUAUAUACUGUACAUAUUGUAUUUGCAUGUUCAUGCACAUAUAUGCAUAUUAUGCAUGUGUAUGCAUCUACUCGUACAUUUUUUAACAUAUGAUAUCAUAAGAUAUGGUAAUAAUUUGUCAGGGUUUUACUAGAAUAUCCUGCUUUGUUAAGAUACUGUACGUGAUGACUGAAGUCCAUUUGUUAAAAAACGGAGUAUUUUCAUUUGUAAACAUGCCGCUAUAAUGUUUUCUAUUAUAGUGUAGAGAGAUCACUUGAUUGUGUCUUUCCCCUCAUCGUCUGAAUCUGGCUCAAAGACGGCUGACUCUUCUCGUCAUUACCAAUAAAGUUCUGAAUAUGUGCACUUUGUGACCACAGGGAACAUUGACUGGUACUUAUCAUGUCAUAAACUCGCACUUCAGUGUUUAAAAUGGUUCUGAUCUCAGCAUGUGGAGUAUGGGAGACUUCUGAGCGUCAAAUCCAGAGGCUCCACAAAGGCGAAGAGCUUGGAUUGAGGUUGUUAACAUUUUGCAGGGUGGCACAUAUGUUAAUUACCAACGUUUUUCUGAUUGUGUGAUGAGCAAACCUAAUCAGGACAGCAUUGUGUUUCAUUCACAACACAUUUUCCCGUCGCUGAUUAGUUGUAUAUAUUUGUGUAAUCUCUCAGAGUUAGGGUUGUUUAAGUAUCUGUUUGAAUGUCAUCAGCAGCACGUUUGAAAAGAAAUACAAACAGCACAGAUUUGUUCUUAUGGGCCUCCUCGUCAUGUGACGAAGUCUGAGGCCAUAUCAUCAACCAAAUUGCCAUCUCGCUUGUCACGCUUGUCCUAAUUGCCGUGUCAGAGUAGGGAUCCGGCUGAGACACAGGCCUCAUUAUUGUCACUUUCAUUUCGCAAAUAUUUGGCAAAUUCUUUCUUCCAGACAUCAACCGCUGUCACUUAUUGUUCUAUCUCUGAGCAGAGUAGUUCUGGAUCAUAAACUCAAUCUCCUCUCAUUUGCAUAUUCUUUAACUCUGCCUCAGCUGUCUGUCGUCAGGUGAGAAGGCAGACCACCAUAAAGAAAAGUGUUUCGGGCUACGCCAAUUGCAAGGACAAUGCAAGUAAGCCACGUGACCAGACUUGUUGUUUACGUCUGUUGAAUUUAUGCAGCUUAUUGUUGUGCAGUGCAUUAUCUUGACAAUCUCUGUGGGCUUUAAUUACUGGAACACUUAAAGAGUGUUGUAGAGUUCAUCAGUACUCCGUAACACAGGGCUGCCAAGAAAAGGAACGACUGGGUGGGCGGGGGGCAAUUACAGUGUAGAGCAGCUUCCACUCAACUCUUGUCCCACAGGGAUUCUGUCCCCACAUUCUGGUUCCAGUCAAUAAUUCAGCCACUGGAUUCAAACAUUUUUCACCUUAUCAAACUCCCCAUUACCAGUGUGACUGGCUUUAAGAGGGGCUGGAAAAAAAGGUAUGUCAUAGUAGACAAAAGAAUAGAAAGAAAUAUCAUUCCUUGCUGGGAUUUUGUCUUUAUGUCAUGUAUUAAACAUUGUGAUUUUCAUAUUUUGGAUGAAAGGGUAUUAAAUUCACUUUGUUGAAGUCUUAUUGCAACAUUAUACAACUGUUAUACCUCAAAAUAACAGCUUCAAAAUCAUUGACUCACAGGUGGAUACGAUCACCUGUAAGUCAACGAAACUGUUGGAAUCAGGCCAAGCAAUUUCAAGACUAAUGCCAAAAUGUAGCUCAGUUACAUAGACUGUCUGUAUAAAUGGACGUAGUCACUGAGUCCGCCAAAUCAAGCCAAUGUGGAAGUGCCUGAAAGCCUGUGUUCUCUGCAAUGGCCAGCAGAGGGCGACUACACUGGUUGCAAAAAGAAGUUUA